ACCUUCGUGGUGUAACGGUAGCACACUCGUCGCGUAAUCGGGAGAUCCAGGUUCGAGUCCCGGCGAGGUCA
rnacentral:tRNA from 1 species